rnacentral:rRNA from 1 species
UGGGGAAUAUUGCACAAUGGGCGCAAGCCUGAUGCAGCCAUGCCGCGUGUGUGAAGAAGGCCUUCGGGUUGUAAAGUACUUUCAGCGGGGAGGAAGGGAGUGAGGUUAAUAAGCUCAUUCAUUGACGUUACCCGCAGAAGAAGCACCGGCUAACUCCGUGCCAGCAGCCGCGGUAAUACGGAGGGUGCAAGCGUUAAUCGGAAUUACUGGGCGUAAAGCGCACGCAGGCGGUCUGUCAAGUCGGAUGUGAAAUCCCCGGGCUCAACCUGGGAACUGCAUUCGAAACUGGCAGGCUUGAGUCUCGUAGAGGGGGGUAGAAUUCCAGGUGUAGCGGUGAAAUGCGUAGAGAUCUGGAGGAAUACCGGUGGCGAAGGCGGCCCCCUGGACGAAGACUGACGCUCAGGUGCGAAAGCGUGGGGAGCAAACAGG